rnacentral:ncRNA from 1 species
CCAUACAACACUGUAGUCAGAGUCUGUCCCCAGACCUGAAACCUUGCACCUGGUGCUUAAGGCUGGAAUUAAAGUAUGUU